GUUGUAUCUCAGUACCUCAUGGGAGAGGUUCUUGUGGGUUAAGAAAGGAACCACUUCCCAAGGCCAGGAAGCGGCGCCGGUUACCACCCGGUUGAGCAAUUCCAAAAAGGGGAUGCAGCAUCUGCAAAUGAGGGGGAAAGGCGGCGUAAAGGACCGAGGGGGAAAUACGAGGAGGAGAAAGGAAGUAGCAGGAAUGAGCGGAGGGGUCGUAUACAGUAGGGAGGGCUCUAUCGACAACUGCUUGAGGAACCCUUCUUGAAGGCACUCAAGACCAACUUGCCAACCCCAGGCACAAUCAUCCAGGGUUUUCGGGAUCUUUCAAAUGCAGUAGGCGGGGAAGCGCUGGGCCUGGCUGGUCAGGCGCCAGCCCGCGGAGACCGAAGCCGUCGGGUGCCUCGAGCGAGGCAGGCCGGGCAGGGGACUCGGGGAGAGUAGGCUGCAGGCCCCACACUCACGGCGGCCGAUCCCCUUCAAAGUCCAACCACGCUCGGAGGCCCUGCCCCACCACGUUCCCGGGACCCUUCCCCACCUUUCCCCGCGGAUGACACCCGGAGGUUCCGGAAACGUCACAUCCGGCGCCCGCUCCGCCCACUCCCGUUCGUCUGUCUAUUACAUUCCCAAUGAUUUAGGACUUGGAACGGAGAGCUAGUAGGUGGGGCUAGAAUCGGCACCUGCGGAAAAUCCGACCAAUGAGGAGCGAACGACACAGCGGCCAUCUUGGUAAAGGAAAAGGAACAAGGAAGAAAGUGGAACCAAUUCGCAAGCUAAGCUGGAGUUGGAAUUACCCAAUGAAGUUGUUCUUAAGAAGGCUACUGUAAAACCAGUAACAUGAAGGUGAAUCUGUGGUUUGGAGCUCCCCCUACAGUUUGUUUGAAGACUGGUCUCUCUCAUCUCCAAGAAAAAUGACCACUUUGGAAAAUGAGUUCUUACGCAUGCUUGGAAAUAUUUUUAAUGUGUAUAUAUUGUUUAAAUUUAUGUUUAAAUGUGUACAUGAGGAAUCCGUUUUAUGUUAGACAUAUUUUUUUCUUUUGUUACCUGCUUGCUAGCUGUGGACUGUAUAAUUUAUUUUCCAAUAAGUCAAAGUCUUUGUUUUAGGUCAGAGUGCCAUUUUCAAGGUUGCGAAUUUCAACAAGAGUUAAAUGACACAUGAAACUUUACGGCUAUUUGAGAAUUGGACAUUUUGGAUGAGAGAUUUUAUCAUUUUAUAUUUUGUUUACGUAUUUCUUUUCAAAUAUAGGGCCUGAAUUAUGACCAAGCACUAUAACUUUUAAUGAGGGAUAAAGAAUUGCAUGCCACUAUGUGUGUACUCUGAAAAAUACUCAUUUAGUUAGUCAUUUGACAAAUACUGAUUAUCAUCUAUGUGCCAGACACUGUUUAAGGCAUUAGGCACAUAUCAAUGAACAAAGCAGACAAAAAUUUCCCUGCCCUUGGGGAUCUUGUAGUUUAGUGAUGGAUGGAGGAGUGGUGGAUUAUAAAAAUUAUCAUGAUAAAGAAGUCAAUUACAUAGUGUAUUAGAAGAUUCAAAGUACUGUGAAAGCAAUGGGCCCUGGCACAGGAAAUCAGAUUGAAGGAAGGAAGAAGCAGUGAGGCAACUGCAAUUCCAAAUAGUGUGGUCAAGGAAACUCCCAUUGAAAAGAUUUGAGAAAAGACUUGGAGGUAAGAAGAGCUUUCCAGGCAGGGAAUAGCAAGUGCAGAGGCCUUGAAUCAGGAGCUUGCUGGUGCAUUCAAGGCACAGUAAGGGGGCUCAGCGUGCCUGGAGUGGAGUGAAGGGGAGUGUAGCUGUAAAUCAUAUAGGGCAAGAGUCAGCAAACCAGUGCAGCCUGUUUUUGUAAAUAAAGUUUUAUUGGAA